UACGUAGGGUGCAAGCGUUAAUCGGACUUACUGGGCGUAAAGCGUACGCAGGCGGCCGUCCAAGUCAGGUGUGAAAUCCCCGGGCUUAACCUGGGAAUGGCGCUUGAAACUGGAUGGCUAGAGUUUAGCAGAGGGGGGUAGAAUUCCACGUGUAGCAGUGAAAUGCGUAGAUAUGUGGAGGAAUACCGAUGGCGAAGGCAGCCCCCUGGGUUAGAACUGACGCUCAGGUACGAAAGCGUGGGGAGCAAACAGG
rnacentral:misc_RNA from 1 species